ACAUGCAAGUCGAGCGGACAGAUGGGAGCUUGCUCCCUGAUGUUAGCGGCGGACGGGUGAGUAACACGUGGGUAACCUGCCUGUAAGACUGGGAUAACUCCGGGAAACCGGGGCUAAUACCGGAUGCUUGAUUGAACCGCAUGGUUCAAUUAUAAAAGGUGGCUUUUACCUACCACUUACAAAUGGACCCGCGGCGCAUUACCUAGUUGGUGAGGUAACGGCUCACCAAGGCAACAAUGCGUACCCAACCUGAAAGGGUGAUCGGCCACACUGGGACUGAAACACGGCCCAAACUCCUACGGGAGGCAGCAUUAGGGAAUCUUCCGCAAUGGACAAAAGUCUGACGGAGCAACGCCCCGUGAGUGAUGAAGGUUUUCGGAUCGUAAAACUCUGUUGUUAGGGAAAAACAAGUACCGUUCGAAUAGGGCGGUACCUUGACGGUACCUAACCAAAAAGCCACGGCUAACUACUUGCCACCACCCGCGGUAAUACGUAGGUGGCAAGCGUUGUCCGGAAUUAUUGGGCGUAAAGCGCGCGCAGGCGGUUUCUUAAGUCUGAUGUGAAAGCCCCCGGCUCAACCGGGGAGGGUCAUUGGAAACUGGGGAACUUGAGUGCAGAAAAGGAGAGUGAAUUCCACGUGUACCGGUGAAAUGCGUAAGAUGUGGAGGAACACCAUUGCCGAAGGCGACUCUCUGGUCUGUAACUGACGCUGAGGCGCGAAACCGUGGGGAGCGAACAGGAUUAAUACCCUGGUAUCCACCCCCGUAAACCAUGAUGCUAAUGUUAAAGGGUUUCCCCCCUUUAAUGCUGCAGCAACCCAUUACCACUCCCCCUGGGGGAGUACGGUCGCAAGACUGAACCUCAAGAAUUGAACGGGCGCCCCCCCAACCGUGAACAUGUUGUUUUAUU
rnacentral:rRNA from 1 species